UCCUUGUAUACGGGCUGAUGGUAGAAUUGUUCCAACCCCUGAUUUUCUAGGCCAAGGCUUCCCAAUCUCUGAGCAUGGAGCAACUUCAUGUUUGACAAGAUCUCAGCUCGAGAAACAUCAUUUGGAUGGUAACCAGUUGAUACUGAAGGUGAGGAACCUACACUCGAGACGAUGGUUGACCUGGGUAUCGUGGACUGGGGACGCUGCAUCACUAUUACAGGUUCCCUAUAUGCUGCAUUUUGAAUUAAUUUCUGUUCAGCAACACCACGAUGAACAUCAGGCUUCGUUACUGCAGGUGGGACCUGCAUCCGCAUUCCGAUACUUGAUGAACCUGAAGGAGGCCAUCUCUUCUCCACUAGUGAUGUUUGCUGGUUUAUCUUUGACGAUUGCAACUUGGAAGUGCCAAGCUCUAGGUCAGUUGGUGUGAUGGGAACUGCCUUACUACAGUUCAAAUCUCGUUCAUUCUUCCCCUGCAACGCCGUCGUUGUAGCUAUGAUCUUCUCCCGUGGUCUGACAAGGGUCUGUGGGGAAGGCAUAGCUUCUGACGAUGUUGGUGUAACUUGUGAAUGCUGUUUCUGUGCCCUCAAAGACUCUUCUGCCUUCACCAGAUCACCUUCACAAGCAACCACUGCUCUUUCCACCUCCUGCUUAGAGCACUUGUAUUUCACCUCCAGUUCUGUAAUCCGAGCAAUCUCUUCACUUAUGUCAAUCCUCAAGUUACCUCUGCUUCCACUGUCAUUACCCUUGUCACGAGCUU
rnacentral:lncRNA from 1 species